rnacentral:lncRNA from 1 species
AGCAAAGGUGUUAUGGUCUGAAUUGUGUUCCCCCCAAAAUCCAUACGUUGAAGUUCCAACUCCCAGUACCUUAAAAUAUGACCAUAUUUGGAGAUAGGGCCUCAAAGCAUGAGAUGAAGUUAAAGUGAGGUCAUUGAGGGGUCACCAUAAUUCAUUAUGACUGGUGUCCCUUUAGGAAGAGGAGAUUAGGACACAGACACACACAGAGGGAAGACCAUGGGAAGACACAGAGGGAAGAUGGCCAUGGAAAAGCUAGAGAGAGAGAGUUCUCAGAAGAAGUAACUCUGCCAACACCUUGAUCUCAGAUUUCUAGCCUCCAAAGGUUAUACCAUGCAGUUUCUCAAAACUAUUUCAAGGACAUGUUGGAAGGAACUGGAGGUUGCAGUUGACUCUGUUGUAGCCUUGCCAGCAUACGUUUUCUGGACUGAAAGCACCUGUCUCUCACUUUCUGUGAGUGUUAGUGGGAACAGUUGCAGUUAUAUUCUUUUUAGAAUUGACCUAAAUAAAAGGGAGACAUUUUGCUUCAGUGUAGGAUGACUCUAAACAUUCCUGAGCUAGAACUCCCUAUGGGAGGAGACAGAGGCUAGAUUUUAUCUGCAUGUACAUCUUCAUAAGCUUCUUCCCUUCUAUUUGUCUCACUUGCUUUUAUGUUUCACCUAAGCACAGUACCUUAAUAAGUGGCUAGCACAAGAAUCCCCAUUCAGGGCAAAG